rnacentral:rRNA from 1 species
AAAUUGAAGAGUUUGAUCAUGGCUCAGAUUGAACGCUGGCGGCAGGCCUAACACAUGCAAGUCGAACGGUAACAGGAAKCAGCUUGCUGMUUUGCUGACGAGUGGCGGACGGGUGAGUAAUGUCUGGGAAACUGCCUGAUGGAGGGGGAUAACUACUGGAAACGGUAGCUAAUACCGCAUAAYGUCGCAAGACCAAAGAGGGGGACCUUCGGGCCUCUUGCCAUCGGAUGUGCCCAGAUGGGAUUAGCUAGUAGGUGGGGUAAMGGCUCACCUAGGCGACGAUCCCUAGCUGGUCUGAGAGGAUGA